rnacentral:misc_RNA from 1 species
GAUGAAGAACGUAGUGAAAUGCGAUAAGUAAUGUGAAUUGCAGAAUUCAGUGAAUCAUCGAAUCUUUGAACGCACAUUGCGCCCCUUGGUAUUCCGGGGGGCAUGCCUGUUCGAGCGUCAUUUCAACCCUCAAGCUCUGCUUGGUAUUGGGCCCGGUGGGCGAUUGCCUACCAGCCUUAAAGAGAGUGGCGGUGCCCCGCGGCCCUGAGCGUAGUAACUACUCCCGCUAUAGGUGUCCACGGGCUCAACAGCCAGCAACCCCAACUUUCUAUGGUUGACCUCGGAUCAGGUAGGGAUACCCGCUGAACUUAAGCAUAUCAAUAAGCGGAGGA